UAUGAAUAAGGAUCGGCUAACUCCGUGCCAGCAGCCGCGGUAAUACGGAGGAUCCGAGCGUUAUCCGGAUUUAUUGGGUUUAAAGGGAGCGUAGGCGGACGCUUAAGUCAGUUGUGAAAGUUUGCGGCUCAACCGUAAAAUUGCAGUUGAUACUGGGUGUCUUGAGUACAGUAGAGGCAGGCGGAAUUCGUGGUGUAGCGGUGAAAUGCUUAGAUAUCACGAAGAACUCCGAUUGCGAAGGCAGCCUGCUGGACUGUAACUGACGCUGAUGCUCGAAAGUGUGGGUAUCAAACAGGAUUAGAUACCCUGGUAGUCCACACAGUAAACGAUGAAUACUCGCUGUUUGCGAUAUACAGUAAGCGGCCAAGCGAAAGCGUUAAGUAUUCCACCUGGGGAGUACGCCGGCAACGGUGAAACUCAAAGGAAUUGACGGGGGCCCGCACAAGCGGAGGAACAUGUGGUUUAAUUCGAUGAUACGCGAGGAACCUUACCCGGGCUUGAAUUGCAACUGAAUGAUGUGGAGACAUGUCAGCCGCAAGGCAGUUGUGAAGGUGCUGCAUGGUUGUCGUCAGCUCGUGCCGUGAGGUGUCGGCUUAAGUGCCAUAACGAGCGCAACCCUUAUCGAUAGUUACCAUCAGGUUAUGCUGGGGACUCUGUCGAGACUGCCGUCGUAAGAUGUGAGGAAGGUGGGGAUGACGUCAAAUCAGCACGGCCCUUACGUCCGGGGCUACACACGUGUUACAAUGGGGGGUACAGAAGGCAGCUACACGGCGACGUGAUGCUAAUCCCGAAAGCCUCUCUCAGUUCGGAUUGGAGUCUGCAACCCGACUCCAUGAAGCUGGAUUCGCUAGUAAUCGCGCAUCAGCCACGGCGCGGUGAAUACGUUCCCGGGCCUUGUACACACCGCCCGUCAAGCCAUGAAAGCCGGGGGUACCUGAAGUGCGUAACCGCGAGGAGCGCCCUAGGGUAAAACUGGUGAUUGGGGCUAAGUCGUAACAAGGUAGCCGUACCGGAAGGUGCGGCUG
rnacentral:rRNA from 1 species